CAGAGACUCGCCUCGCUCUAAAGACUUACCCAGCAUGACCUUCAACCAAAGCUUCUCUUUUAAGGCUGUGAAGGAAUCUGUCUCUGGAGUGCAGCUGGAAGAGAAACUGGAUGAAAUAUUCAGGCAGGAAGUAAUCAGGAUAUCUGCAUCAGGGGCGAAUAUCCAGAUCAUUCAGUCUUUAGAACAAGCUGAUCCUGAGCUCCCAGUCAGAAGAACAGCCAGUAGAAGGAAGCGGUCACCGAUGAGUAAGUCAUUACUGACUAAAGCCUGUAAGCCUUUACAUCAGGGGUCUAGCACAGAAAUAAUAGUUUCACUCUAUCUAAUGAGUCAGGUCUCAACUAUUUGCUCUUACGGAGACGAAGACAGUACAUAGCCAGGGUAGUGAUAGUUCCAUCACAUGUCUUUUACAAUUGUAGACUACCUUGAAGAAAAAGGUUCUCUCCAUAUCAUGUGCAAUUUUCAUGCUGUUUAAGUUUGUGUCAGACUGAAAACAAAAGAUCACUUGUGUUGUCCUGUACAUAAAAGAGGCACAACUAACCUUUUUUCCCCACAAUGCUCAGAGAAUGAGUAGCACUGCCACCAAAGAUUAGUACAAGAAGAAAAAUAAGGAAAAAUGAAAAA